rnacentral:rRNA from 1 species
AUGCUCCAUGCUAAGGAGACACUGAGGAAGAUGUACUCAGUCGCCAAGGGCUACUACUGCGGGGGCCUAGCGGCGCCCAACACGUUUCCAGCAGCAUGGGAUCUAAGGCAUUCUCUCAACCCCUCAAGGAAAGCGCCGGGGUUUGUUAAUCCAUGCAGGGCCCGUUCAUAUGCGCACAUCGUGGGAAGCCCUGCCGACCAAGAGAUUGUGAUCGCUCUGGGAAGCAAUGUGGGGGAUAGGAUCAGUUCGUUCGACAGGGCGCUGCGGCUGAUGAAAGACUCGGGCAUAAAGAUCACCAGACACGCCUGUCUGUACGAGACCGCCCCUGAGUAUGUGACGGACCAGCCGCGGUUCCUCAACUCCGCUGUUCGGGGCACCACCAAGCUGGGGCCUCAUGAUCUGCUCAAGAAGCUGAAGGAGAUCGAGAGGGAUAUAGGGCGGACCGCCGGGAUAAGGUACGGCCCAAGGCCUAUCGAUCUGGAUAUUCUCCUGUAUGGCGACUCCCAGAUCAGUACCGAGACCCUGACUGUGCCACAUGAGCGCAUCCAUGAGAGACAAUUCGUUUUAGCGCCUCUUGUUGACCUUCUAGGGUCCUCGGCUGACGAUCAUAUGGAGAAAAGCUGGCACUCCCUUUCGAAGUGCAGCGGUGGGUUCUUUGAUGUGUGGAACGAGCUUGGUGGUGAAUCUUUAAUUGGGACACAAGGUAUCAAGAGGGUUAUGGCUGUUGGAAAUCGUCUGUUGGAUUGGAGUGAGAGGACCCUUGUCAUGGGGGUGCUUAACUUGACGCCGGACAGCUUUAGUGACGGAGGUAAGUUUCAAGAAGUGGAGGCUGCUGUUGCUCAGGCCAAGUUGUUGAUAUCAGAAGGCGCGGACAUAAUUGAUAUUGGUGCUCAAUCCACCAGGCCCUCUGCAACAAGACUAUCUGCAAGUGAAGAACUUGAGAGGCUGGUCCCUGUUCUGGAUGCAAUCGUCAAAAUCCCCGAGAUGGAAGGGAAGCUGAUCUCAGUAGACACAUUCUACGGACAAGUUGCUGCUGAAGCUGUAAAGAGAGGAGCCACCAUGAUUAAUGAUGUGUCUGGCGGACAGCUUGACCCAAGUAUUCUUGAAGUUGUAGCUGAACUUGGAGUUCCAUAUGUUACCAUGCACAUGAGAGGUGAUCCAUCAACUAUGCAGAGUGAACAGAAUUUACAGUAUGAUGAUGUCUGCAAAGAAGUUGCUUCUGAGUUAUACACACGGUUAAGAGAAGCAGAGUUGUCUGGAAUUCCUUUGUGGAGGAUAGUUCUUGAUCCUGGCAUUGGGUUUUCCAAGAAACUCAGACAUAAUCUUGAAAUAAUCAAGGGCUUGGGAUCCAUUAGAAAAGAGAUGGGUAAAGUGAGUUUAGGUGCUUCACAUGUGCCAAUAUUACUUGGACUCUCAAGAAAAAGUUUCUUAGGUGAAAUAUGCAAUCGUGCCGAUCCAGUUGAGAGAGAUGCAGCUACAGUUGCUGCUAAUGCAGCUGGGAUUAGGAAUGGUGCUAACAUAUUAAGGGUUCAUAAUGUUGGAUAUGGCGUGGAUGCUGCAAAAGUCUCUGAUGCAUUGCGCAUGUAA